GAGAGAGAGAGAGAGAGAAAGAGAGAGAGGGAGGAAAAGAAUCGAGAUUGAGAGUGUCGUGUACCUCCCCCCCCCUCACUGGGCAUUGUUCUCCCGCUCUGUUGUUCGUUUCACGCGAAAAUAACGUUUCUCACGAAUUGUUUCUCCGUUUCCCGUUGCUUGAUUUGCAACUUGGCGCGCGGGCAGAGCGCGCGACUUCCGGCUGUCGUUAGGUAAUUAGCUCUCUCGAGAGCCGGCUCGACUCUCACCGCCCGAUCCGUCGUUCGUGCCGUCGUCGCACAGCAACGCAACAGCGCUUGUUCUGAAAUGUUCUUACGGUAGACGGGAGACUCCUGCGGAUCGUAGAACGUUUCGUCCCGGAACGCCAGUGCGGAAUUACUACGUAGUAAUAACAUUACCGAGUAUAAUGUACUGUAACAAUAGUCGAUAUCGUCGUUAUAUUAAGAGACUACUGUAGUUAACAUUUUUGUUUGUCACGUAAAUAGGGCAGAGUGUAAUAUCGAUUGUAUUAGCGUAUAUUGUUAUGAAAUUCGCGAUAGUUACGCGGCGAGGGGAAAAGAAGAGAACGAGGUAGCACUCGAAGCUAGAGUUUCCGGCGAUCCUCCUCGUCAGCGUUCCGGGACAGAGCUUAGAUUAGAGACCUAGACUUGAAGAACAUCUGCACAACGGGCCUAUUCACGGGUGUCUGUCUCUUUAGCACGCCCUGGGAAACAGGGAAACAUAGCGGAAAAGCGAAAGGAAAUUCUCGUCAAAAGUACACGCGAACGAGUCGCGUGCCAGCAUCAAAACACGAGCGAACGUAGUGACUUAGCGUAUCCGUAACGGAAGUAGAGAAUCACGUCUAGAGCCUACACGUAGCCGGUAGGUAAAACCAAACAUAUGUAAUCGAUUUAGGUAUAGGAAAGACGUCAAACAAUACGUGCCCAAUGAAUACGGCCCAGUGCCGACCGAAGAGCGACCGGGAAGGACAGCGCUGUUGUGGACGUUAGCUGAUUCGAAUUGGCGCUGACCGUUUGAGCCUCAAGAAGCGAGAGAGCGAGGAAGAGAGAAGCGAAAUCCUCACUUGUAAGCUCCUUAAGCAAGACAAAUUGGAGCUCAAAGGGUUAGAUUACACACGCGCGCGAGCAGGUCGUGCGUUUAGAUGUGAGGAAGAUGAGUCAAGUACCGAGGUCAAGAUCGAAAUGAAUCAGGAGAUCCGACGCGUUCAAGGUCAGAGUCAGCGCGGUCCUUCCUAGAUGUUCCCGACUCUCCAAUUUGACCUAUCGCAGAGCAUGACGUAGUGUUAUGACGACGCAUGUACCUUCCACCUUGCAACCUCGUGGACGUGGUUGCGCGCGAGAUGGGUUUCCCGCACUUCGAGAAGCUGCACCAUCGCUUCCUCCCUUAUCGCCUGCCGCGUCCGAUUCCGAGCAGCACCUGCAAACGUCAGCUUCCGUUUGAACGAUACCGGUCUUCGAGCGAGUCCCUUUCACCGAAUUACUCUUCACGCGGGACGAGGACCGCUCACUCCGCCUGCGGGUGAUUGCUUCCCGUUCGCGAGAUGGAGGACAACGGAGAACCGUGAAAACGAGCCAGCUUACUACACAUAUUACUCGUAAUGUUCCUAUUUCUACGCGAAUAUUCGUAACCCUCGUAAGAGCGAGAUCCCCUUCCCGGUGGACGAUCCUCCUCGUCACCUCUGUCUCUGACUAGACUAAGCAGCCUCCGGAUUAGCAUACCAAAGAGACGAUAGCUUAGCUGUAUGGUAGAUUAGAACCGUCGUUUAGUCGAUCGAAAAAAGGAAAAAAAUAUACACACCGAUACACGUACUCGUAAUAUUAGAGGAUCACGGUUAGAGCGUUUUUAGAGAGCCUCGAUUCGCUGGUAGGGUAAUCGUUCGAGUUACGUCAAGCGGAUUACAAAUCUUCCACGCGCGUGAGCCAGAGUUAAGGUACUUCAUUCCGACGUUCGCGGUAGUGAUUUAUAUCCGAUAUCUUAUCUGUCUUGCUCUCUCGAGCGAGAGUUUACUUACAAGGAAAGAUAGAGAACCCGGAAAUUCAAAAAAUUCUGAAACUUUGUGUGGAAGUAAGGUAGUUCGUCCGUAAUGCAAAACUAUAUUUUUUAUUCGUGCGGAAUUCCAGUCUGUAAAGGGAGGAAACCGCCCUUCGAAACAAAAAUCAUUUUUAGCGUAUAUCUUUUAAAAUACGAGGCAUGUGCAAAAAUGGUUUAUAUGAAAGUUGUAGUGUAUUGCAUACUCUUUGUGACUGUGUAUUCAGAUUUUGCAAAAUUGGAGGGCCGAGGGGGUUUCAAAAAUUUUUCAAUUUUGCAAAAUCUGAAUACACAAUUGCAAAGAAUAUGAAAUACAGUAUAACUUUCAUACAAACCAUUUUUGCAUAUGCCUCGUAUUUUAAAAGAUAUACGCUAAAAAUGAAAAUGAUUUAUUUUUUUCGAAGGGUGGCUUCACCCCCUCAGACUGGAAUUACACACAAACAAAAAAUAAUUUUGCAUUAUGGAUGAACCAAUUUACUUCCACACAAAGUUUCAUAAUUUUUUGAAUUUCUAAGUUCCCUGUGUUUCCUUGUUGGUUGUUCUCCCUUAUCGACCGGCUGGACGUACGCGUGCAGAGUUGAUCCUUGUUUCCAACGGGGGAAGUAGAGAUUUGUUUGAGAUUUGCGAAUUUUUUGUCCGACUGCGUGACUUUAUUCGUUGAAUUUAUCGGCUCGUGAUAUUUUUGACUCUGGUUGCAUCAUCGAUACGAUACUUUCGGUCAUAGUGAUAUUUUUGUGAGAAUAGACUGAUAGCGUUAUCGAUAAUGUUAGAUUAAAAGGGGAAAAAGGAUCUUUAGUGGUUACUUACUUACGUGUGAUUUAUACGUUACAGAAGCAAAAGGAAGGAAAAUGGAAGAGAGAUUCCUCGAGAACGGCGGAUUGUAAUACGCGCACACACACACACACACACACACACACACACA
rnacentral:lncRNA from 1 species